UGAACAGACCCCACACGAUCCUUGUAAACGGUCCGAGUUGGUCUACAUGCCUUCGCCUCUGGAGCACGUACCCCCUCCAGUCCUUACUCGGAAGACAGUUGCUAGACUAUGUGAUGCCUCGCCUCCGGUUUACUAUUUACGGCAUUUACAGAUUGCCUCUGAAGACUGUCAUCUCACAAGAAAGCCUAUUCUCACAAGACAUCCCGACCCACUCUGCAGGAUAUUAAAGGAAAAGUUCCUUCAAGAUAAACAUUUCAUCUUUGCACAAGGCAUAGCACUUAUAUUCUUGAAAAAAACUAAUGUGCCACAUCUGCAAUUCUUAAUGCUAAAGCCUCGAGUUAAAACUACAAUGAAAUUCUCAAUACUAAGCAAUUAGGAGGUAAAAUUUCACAUGCAGCCAGGACAGAAGUGUAUAUUGCUAGCAUGUUAGUGUACACAGAAUGCUGGAAUUUAUUCCCUAGCCUUAGGAAAAGAAUUAACAUAAUAGGAUUCAAGUCAUCCUGAAUCUUGAAUCUAAACAAUAGCUUCAGAAAAAAACGUAGCAGUGGGAGCCGUUUGGAGGCAGCAGCAAAGAUCAUGGGAACUGUAGAGGCAAAGUCAGAAAUAAAAUUUCUUAAAUAAGACC